CCUGGGGAGUACGGCCGCAAGGCUAAAACUCAAAGGAAUUGACGGGGACCCGCACAAGCGGCGGAGCAUGCGGAUUAAUUCGAUGCAACGCGAAGAACCUUACCAAGGCUUGACAUAUACGAGAACGGGCCAGAAAUGGUCAACUCUUUGGACACUCGUAAACAGGUGGUGCAUGGUUGUCGUCAGCUCGUGUCGUGAGAUGUUGGGUUAAGUCCCGCAACGAGCGCAACCCUCGUUCUAUGUUGCCAGCACGUAAUGGUGGGAACUCAUGGGAUACUGCCGGGGUCAACUCGGAGGAAGGUGGGGAUGACGUCAAAUCAUCAUGCCCCUUAUGUCUUGGGCUUCACGCAUGCUACAAUGGCCGGUACAAAGGGCUGCAAUACCGCGAGGUGGAGCGAAUCCCAAAAAGCCGGUCCCAGUUCGGAUUGAGGUCUGCAACUCGACCUCAUGAAGUCGGAGUCGCUAGUAAUCGCAGAUCAGCAACGCUGCGGUGAAUACGUUCCCGGGUCUUGUACACACCGCCCGUCAAGUCAUGAAAGUCGGUAACACCUGA
rnacentral:rRNA from 1 species